CCAAUUUCAGUCCAAAAGGCGAUGCAUUUCACACGGUCAGACUGCUGUUCGAGAAGGAGGUCGCUCUCCCUUCCGUCUCUCAUCGCUCAUGUCGAGCUCGAGCCCGGAGGCCUCCGGCGACGCUCCGCCCUUGUCCUUCUGGCCGUCCAUGCGGGUAAGACGUGUUCCUAAGCUUCCAUGGAGCCAUAGGGGGUCGAGGAUCUCGGUCGUCGUGUUCUCGGAGAACUACGGGUCCUCUGGCUGGUGCUUGGACGAGCUGGUGAGAAUCGUCGAGUGCAGGGAUACGAUGGGGCAGAUCUUGUGGCCGCUGUUCGACAAGGUGGAUCCGUCGGAGGUGAGGAACCAGAGGGGGAGGUAUGGACAAGCCCUAAUCGGUCACGACGAAAGGUUGAAGUCGAAGGGCGAUUCAGGGAAGGUGAAGAGGUGAGAGAGAAGCACUGACGAAAGCGGCAGACAACUCUGGCUGGCAUUUUGGUUUGACAAGGUAAUGUUUAUGCAAAAAGGGGAAAAAGAUCAAUUCACUCUCAUCAGAGCAGGAAAGCUUAUGUAUCGUUUCUUCACUCUAAAAGAGGAAUUUCAAAAGUCGUGCAUUGAGUAAAUAAACAUGCAGCUGGACCAUGUCCCUCCACAAGCCCCUUGAGGUUUGCAGGUUUAUCAAAAAGGAAGGUAAUGAUCUUUUUAUUGAUUAAACUUAAGGCUGACUGAGUAUUUAUCUGUUUAAUUAGGUAUCCAGAAAGUUGAUUUCCCUAUCUUCUAUUUUAGGUGCCGAUUGCUAGGAACUGAAUCUGGUUUAUAGUGCAUGAGAUAUUGACCGCAAGUUGAUCUCACUGGAGAGCAACUUAGUACUCCUUGUAUCAAUUGUAUUUGAAUCUCCUCGGGUAUUCUUCAUUGGCUUUAUGCAUGGAAUCUACCAGGCACCAGUCUUAUGUCAUUCAGAGCAUUGUCAAGAGAGCAAGGCCUGAGCUGAACAAUGAGCAGUUAUAUGUUCCCAAAAACGUGGUUGACAUAAAUUUGCAUGUGUCCGAUUUGCAUACUUUGCUAGACAUGGAAUCAAAUGAGGUUUGCAUGGUCGGGAUUUGCAGAUUUGGAGAAAUAGGGAAGAUGACUUUCGCCAAAGCUACUUACAAUGCUUUUGCUUGCAAAUUUUACUGUUGCAGCUUUCUUUCCAAUGUUAGGGAAACUUGCGAGAAAUCACAGAAGGUGGCCAACUUCAGCUUCAAGAGACACUUUUUUCUCAGGUAAAAUGAGAUGAUAGUCUCAAGCUUGGCAAUCUCCCCAGAGGUAUGAACAUGAUAAAGAGUAGACUUCACCAUAAAAAGGUCCUCAUUGUCAUUGACAAUGUGAACCAGUUGAUCCAAUUCGAAACACUAGUUGGAGGACGUGAUUGGUUUGGUUGUGGAAGCUAAAAUCUCAUAAUGACUAGAGAUGAACAUUUACUAGCUGCUCAUCACAUAGAAAGCAUAUACAAGGUUCAAGUGUUACAUCAUUCUAUUGCUAGUAUGCUAUUGAGUUAAAUUGUUUUCAGGAAUCUUUCUCCUCCUUCAGAUUAUGAAGAGCUUUCAAAUAACGUAGUGGAUAACACCAAAGGACUUCCAUUAGCUAUUAAAGUUUUGGGUUCUUUUCUUUGUGGUAGAAGCUUACUUGAAUGGAUUAGUCAUUAGAUAAUUUGAAUUGAGUUUUCAGUGGAAAAAUCUUCUGUGUGCUGAGAAUGAGCUUUGAUGGUCUAGAUGAUUAUGAGAAGGACAUAUUUCCUGAGAUAGCAUGUUUCUUCAUGGAAGAGUGUAUAAGUUAUGCAAGAAAAAUUUGGGAGAGCUGUGAUCUCUACCUGGAUGGUGGAAUUGCUAUUCUUAUAGAUAAGUUGCUCAUCACUAUUAAGUAUGGCAAGCUGGAGAUGCACAUUAGUAAACUGAAUCAUGGUCCUAUGUUUUUGACAAUAUAUAUAUGCCUGUUUGGUAGGGUUAAAGCCUCUUACAAAGAACUUUUGGCCUUUGUUAAAAAUAUGAAUGUGCACGGAAACAUGAUUUGAUAUCGAUGAUAGUUUGUGGUUUGAGUGUGUGUUGCGUAUAAUGUGUAUAUGAUGGACAAGGGAUGAGAUAGGAUAGUUCAAGGGAUAAAAGCAAGUUUUUAUGGGACUAGGAUAGUUUCACUAGUUUAUAAAAAUAGUUUUAAAAUAGUUGAAGGAACCGUUGGUGGAGGAGCUUCAUGAUAUGGAGUUUAUUCUCAUACUCCUCUCACACAUUUGCAUGAAUGAGCUAUGGCCUUUUCAUAGGCCUUUCCACCAACUAAGUACAACUACCUUAGAGGAUUCUGGACUUCUCAUGGAUGCUGUCCACGUACGCUUCAUCUUGCAGCCACCACCACAUCUCUGACUUGUUCAGAGAUUGUUUGCUUAUUACAUGCUGGACAUUUUCCAGCCACAAUCUUUAACUAUCCAAAACUUCAUCUAGGGAAUUCUAGGUUGUAGUUUAGUAACUCUAGGAAAUUCUAGAAAAAUGGAUCACCAUUUCCAACAGCCUUCUACUAAAAAAAUAUGUGAAUAUAUUCUGCUAAGUAGGAUAAUGGCCUUGGUGGUCCAUAACAGUUGCUUUUUCCAUAUCCAGCCUUGAGAUGUAUGGUUUGUACUAUUGACCUCUCUCCAGAAAGUAAAUUAUAAAAAAAUCUGCAGGAACUUAAAUACUGUGGUUUUUUUUAUGAUUGAGGUCAUUUAUAAAACUCUUGUUUCAAAUGCUAAAGUAAAAGCAGAUUCUGAAAGCUAAGAACCAAAGGCACCAGAAGCAUGGCAAAUCUUAUUUACUACUAGCAGAGUCCUUGCAUAACCUAGACACCUUUGCACUUAAAUCAUCUCCUCAUAUAUGUGCUGCCAGGGAACUAAUAAAGUGGAAGCAAUAUUGCUCAAGUUGGCUGCUCCUGAAGUACACUUCAGUGCUCAAGCCUUCACAAACAUGAAAAGGCUCAGAAUUUUCCAUAUACCAUUCAGGUGAUCCCAUGUACUUUCCUGUUGGGUUGAGAUGGCUGGAAUGGCCCAGUUACUCUCCACCAUCGGUGCCAUUCAAUACAGGCCACAGGAAACUUGUAGGUCUAAUCCUGAGUAAAAGCAGCAUCCGCAUACUGGGGAAAGAAUUCUAGGUAAAUGCUUGCAAUAUGCUCUUCUGUUGCGAAUCUAGUCGAACUGAAAGAGUUGUUUUUGAGGGACUGUGCAGACCUUAAAAUCCUUCCCUGUAGCAUCAUUACACUGCAGCCUCUUGAGCAUAUUUUUUCUGAUAGAUGCUCACACUUAGUAAGUUCCCGGAAUUUGUGUGGGGAUCAAGUGAUUAUAUAAAUUUCUUUCUUCCAUUAGCCCUUCCGAGCAUAAUUUACUUGAGUAUGCAAAGAUGUAGCUUAUCAGAGCUUGGUUUUUUGAAAAAAUUUCAUCGCAGGUCAUUAUUGACAAUUUUUUAGAUCUGUUGGAAAUCAACUUUGUUAGCCUUCCUACAUGCAUCAGUUAAUUUACUAAGUUGCAGCAGCUUUUUUUGACACAUUGCUUGCAGCUUUGAGAGAUUCUAGCUCUCCCGCCAAACAUAACAUCUUUACUUGCAAAAGAUUGUGAAUCGCAGGAAACAUGUGUGGAUUUAUCACACAUGUUAGGAUAUAAUCCAGACGAAUCACCUUGACUCAAACAAAUUGACUUCUCCAGCCGUCACAAGAUGAUCCAGGAUCAAUGCUCUCUCUCUCUCCCUCCCCACUAUAAACCCCCCUCUCUAUUCUCCUCCUCCUCUCUUCAUCUUUCCCUCUGCUCUAUCAGCGCACAGCCUCUCGACCUCAAACUGUACCAAUAAGCAGGGACUGCUUGGUGAGUCUUGGGUUGACAUUUUUUAUCCCAGAAGCAAGAUCCCAAAGCAGUUCAUCCAUCAAAGCGUGAGAGGACUAAUAAGGUUUCCUCUAUCUACCGAGUUAUACCGUGAUAUAGCUAGCUUGGCCUUUUGUGCCAUUAUCGGUUCAGCUAAUUGAAAGAAAGUCAUUAUUUCAUGCGAGAUCCAGUUGUUUGUCAAUAAUCAAGAAGCUUAUGGUGCUUUAGAUUGUUUUUGCUCGUUACAGUUUGACCACAUAAGAUGGGGGGAUUGGGCUCUCAAUUGCUGAAUGAUAGUAGUCAUUCUACGGUACUGUUUCAAACAUAGGAAACUGCAGGGUGCAUCUGGCGUACGCACAAGGUAAGCAACUAAAUGAAACAAAGAUUGACGAAGCGUCGAUCCUCUGAAUUCGAACACGGACCUCGCAAGUUCUGAUGUCUGAAGCUCCGAAACAAAGGUAAGAUUUUCAGACAGUACACUAGGAUUUGAAAUUAGCUUUCUUGCAUUUUCAGUUAGGGGGUUAUGUUGAAACCCUUUUGAAUAGCUUUGAUUGCGUGCCUCCUCACAGUGGAAACAAACCUGCUGAUGUGUCUUUCUUUACCCUCAGAUUUAUGUGGUCCAAGUCAAUAUUCAGAAAUGUUCUUGUCGACACGUAUCACGACCAAGCCCAAGAAGAAGGGCUUUAAACAAAGAAAAAUAAUUUCCCAAUGGGCACUAAUCUAUCUUUUGCUAGUCUUCGUCCAAUCACGUCACACGCAGAUUUGAAGAAACCAGAUACGAAGAAAAUGAAUUGAGACUGAGAGCAAAGUUAGCAGAUUUUAACAAAUUCCCCAAUUUACGGAAGGUAGGUUUGACACUAGCGUACUGAUUUAUUAUUUUUUUAUGAUGUGAAAAUAUUUUUGGGAUAAAUGUGAUGGAGGCACCCUAAUUUGGGAUUUUUUUGUAAUACGAAAAUUAAUUUGGGACAAUUGUUGUACCUAUUUCGAAUUUCCAUGACAUGUUAAUGUAUCAAUCUACAAAAUUAUAUUAAUCCAUUUCAAA